rnacentral:rRNA from 1 species
CAUGCAAGUCGAACGAGAAAGCCCCGCAAGGGGUGAGUAAAGUGGCGUACGGGUGAGUAACACGUGGGUAAUCUACCUUUUGGUGGGGAAUAACCCUGGGAAACCGGGGCUAAUACCGCAUAAGCUCGUCAUUAUAAAGAUGACGCGGAAAGGAGCAAUUCGCCGAAAGAGGAGCCCGCGGCUGAUUAGCUAGUUGGUGAGGUAAAGGCUCACCAAGGCAAUGAUCGGUAGCCGGCCUGAGAGGGCACACGGCCACACUGGCACUGAAACACGGGCCAGACUCCUACGGGAGGCAGCAGUGGGGAAUCUUGCACAAUGGGGGAAACCCUGAUGCAGCGACGCCGCGUGAGUGAUGAAGCCCUUCGGGGUGUAAAGCUCUUUCGGCAGGGACGAUAAUGACGGUACCUGAAGAAGAAGCUGCGGCUAACUACGUGCCAGCAGCCGCGGUAAUACGUAGGCAGCGAGCGUUGUUCGGAGUUACUGGGCGUAAAGAGUGCGUAGGCGGUUUUCUAAGUUUGGUGUGAAAUCUCCCGGCUUAACUGGGAGGGUGCGCCGAAGACUGGAAGGCUAGAGUAUGGGAGAGGUAAGCGGAAUUCCUGGUGUAGCGGUGAAAUGCGUAGAUAUCAGGAGGAACACCUGCGGCGUAGACGGCUUACUGGACCAUAACUGACGCUGA